GUUUUUCUCCUGGUAUCCACUGUAGGCCUCUAUGUGUUUUUGUAUUUCAUAAGGCACGCGGUGAAUGCCAAGAGCGAACGG
rfam:Glossina pallidipes unplaced genomic scaffold Scaffold98, whole genome shotgun sequence.